CUCCCGAGGGAGUUGUAACUGCAGUGAGGUCUCCCCUCAGUCUCCUCCUCUCCAGCUGAACAGACCAAGUGCCCUCAGCCGCCCCUCGCUCGGCUUCCCCUCAGGGCCCUUCGCCAUCUUGGCGUGCAGGAGGAGCCCCACAACUGAGGAACAGCUCAUGUUAUUUAUAGGAGCAAACUUGAUAGAAAUGGUGAAGUAGCCUAAGUUUGGAUUUUUAUGGAAUGGAGCAAACUGACAGAAAUCCCUGGGAUGGAGCAGGUUCAGGAAACCAGAGUGCUCACGAUUUUUAAAUAUGAAAUAACUCCGAAGAGACAGUUUUAGAUGGAGUUUUGUGUGUGGAUUCAUGGCCUAUGUCAAACAUACAGCAGCUGCACAUGGUCCAAUCUGCUCUGCAGUCCGUGCCUGGCAGCCGGUUCAUCUGGCAGUGCAGGAACGCACAUUUAAAAAUGCAGGUUCUGGAAUCAGCCUCAGGGCAAUUUCCUGAAGGUGACUGAGGAAAUCAAGCCCAUUCAUGGUAGAUCUGAAUUUAUUACUCAUGGACUUUCACCUCCUCUAGAAAAAAAAAGAGAG